GAAGCCUUCAGAUCUUUAAUUCCAAAUAAAAAAACCUAAACCACUCCACACACCGCCGUCGCCACUGCUACUCCCCUCGACACCACCAUCACAAAUCUCAUUCUCGUCGCACCCUCAACGAACGCCAUCGUCGCCUCUCCACAAAAGCUUCGCUGGACGUUGCCUCGCCGCCACAGCUUGCCGCACGUCGAUGCCUCGCCGCCACAGCUCGCCCAAGUCGCCUCAACAGCCGGACGUCGCCUCCCCGGGGGGCUUGGAGGGAUUUUGGAUGCAUUAAGGAAAGGAAGUCCUAUUUCUUUGUGGCGAUAGCAGCCCCUGAACUGCUGCUGUCUGAGAAGGUAGUCCAAAACCUUGUUCAGUGGAGGGUUGCUUUUUCUUUUUUCUUUUUUCUUUUUUUGAGUUUUGCAGAUGGAAAAAGGAGGAAUCUGAUGGGGGCAGAGAGAGUUUUGGAUGCAAUAAUGAGAGGAGGAUAGCUGAUUACAAGCUGUAGUUCUUACCCAAAGCUUCUAAAAGUGGAGGAUAGGACUGCCAUGGGGAGGAUCCUUCUAUGGGAAAUGACUCCACAUGUCUUGUGAUUCUAUUAAGGCUGAUUCAUAGGUUGUAUUCUAUGGAAAUGAAGCCAUCUGUUUUCUUGGCUUUAAUUGGCUUGCAGGGUCUGAGAUAUAGGCUAAAGGAGGAGGUUCCUGCUGGAAGGGUUUUGCAGGCUCAUCUAAAGCUUGUAAAGUGGAGGAUGGGGCUGCCUUGGGGCUGAUCCUACAAUGGGAAAUGAUGCUUCAAGUGUUGACAGAGCUUAGCAUAAGUUGGGACCUGAGGCUAUUUUCUGUCCUCUUCUGGAGCCUGAAGCAAGGGGAGAAAUGGAGGUAUAAGGAUUGCAGUAGAUGAGAAUGAGGAUUCUGGGAACCUCAGCAACUCUGUAGGGUGUCUUUGAUAGUUGGAAUUUUGAGAAUUUGGAUGCAGAGUUUUGGAAUGAGGACACCAUGCUUGAAUGAGAGAUCUCGCCUUUUGAACAUGCUCUCAAGUUUCCAAAACAAGUUCAAUCCGGCAUCAAACAAUGAAGAAUACCUUCUAGUAAAAUUAGAAGAUCAGGAAGAUCAGCAACACUUGGGGGGGAAAUGAAAAAAAAGUUACCUUUACAAGAGAAAGGUCAGAUCUCGGAGAAAGAUGGAUAGCAAUUGAAGCAGAAAGUGGGUGCUGCAUAAAGCACACCACUAUGACUUUACAAAGGGGAGACGAAGGGAUCGUUUUCUUGACAGAAAUAGCUGACAAUCUACGAAAGCUUAGGGAGCUGUGAAGAAGACAUCAUAAUAUAAUAUUAUCAGUGUUAGUUACUGGUUUUUGUGUCUUAGGAUUUCAACAUUGUAUGGAAAAGAAAUGUGGUGCAUCAAAUGCUUUAUACAACUUUACUCACUUAUUCCUAAUACAAAAUACUACAUAUGCUACAGAAACAAACAAAGAAAGAAGGAAAGAAAGAAAGAAGGAAACAAACAAAUGAUUUCAACAUUCCAUUCUUAAAUUCUCAGCUGCAGAUGAGAGUACUAGCUUGCAGCUGCAAUUAAAGCUCUGAGUGGAGGUUAUUAGAACUGGAGAUUGCUUUUGGAGAAGUUGAAUUUAAGAAUGGAAUGCCUGAUGUAAAAUUUAGUCGGGUUUCCCAGUUUAAAGAUGAUGUGGCACCGCAUAAGAGAGAGAAAGGAAAUGGCGAUAGAGUCUUCGAAGUAUCAGGCACCGCCGGUGAAUAACAACAACAAUCAGGUGCAAUAUCAUCCUGGGUUUGUUCGGUUGCUUUCCAAGGCUUGGCUUGAUUGUGUUCACGCUGAGAGGUGAUGUCGCGGGUUUGUUGGCCGUGCGCCCUCCCUCCUUUCUGCGCGUCGCGAGCUGCUUCCCUUUCUCGUGCGAUUUUGCCUUGAUCUCCAUGUUCAGUAGUGGCGACCGUCGUUUCAAUAACACGCACAUCGGCGGGACGGAAAUCCGCAAUAGUGUCAUCGGCGACUUUCUCGGCCAGCGACUCAAAGUGGCUGGCCAUUUUGGGGACUCUAUUCUUCUCCAGUUCGACUUUCGUCCGUCUUGUUGGCUCUUCUCAUAUGCUCUGAAGCCAUUAUUGCACGACACUAACAAAUUCUUCUUCUUCCUCUGCUUCUCUUUUUUUGUAUCGUGUUUGAUUGAAUCUGGUGAUAGAAAGAAAGGAAUAAGGGGUAUAAAUUGGGUGGAAUGGCGAUAUACACAGGGAAGAUUGAGAUGUGGAUAGAGGACUGAUCUCUAGAAACACCACGAGUUACGGGGGAGUUUCAGAGAAUACGAGUAAGCUAAAAUUUUGGGUGUGGCGGGCUUUUCAAUUCCGGACGAGACCAAUUUCAUGAACCCAGGCAACCUCUCAUGCAGUACGUCAUGCCCGGAAACAGUACAGUUAAUGUGGACCUGUGGCUUUAAAAUUGCAGUGUGAUCUCUGUUAGUUCACAUUAUUCACCAAUCCAACAAUUCCAUUUCCUUGAACAAAGAAUCUUAACGACGACCUAAGAUUUUGUGGUGUGAAAGAGAAGGUUCCAUGUAUCUGGCAAGCCAGGGAGGCAAUGCGGCCAUGAAAGCAAUAACAAUGACGGGUUCUAUUUCGGCAAAUUGAUUAACUACCUAGAGUAAGGAUUGAAGAACAACAAUCACCUUAAUGGGCAAAAACUGGCGGAGGCAAUAACAACUAUCAGGGAGUGUGGAGAGAUUUCCAUAAAGAGAUCGGCGGCUCCAAGAAUGAUGAUAAUGGUGGCAGGGUGUCAAACUUUUGGCAGAGACAAUCUACAGAGUUUCUGGUGAGGGCAGGGGUUGUGAGAGAGGACAUUCAACCCAAUAGCGUUGGAUUAUCGGUACCAAAUAGAAGACCAAAAAAGAAAAAUACGAAAUAAUAAAAAAAAAAAAUCCAUUUCAGCAUAUUAUUACCGGUAACCUGUAAGAAACCUGUAAAAAAUGCUAGAUGGAAAAAAAUUAAUGGUUUGUGGUUCUAAACAUCACUUAUGAAAGUUCAGGGUGCGGCAUGAAUAAUCCGUUAUAGUUCAUUGUGCGGGAUGACACUUUAGCCAAUAAUGUAUUUUAGUUCUCUCUAUCAAAUAUUUUACUUUAUAUUAUCCAAAACUUAUUCUGUGGCAGUGAA